GUGAGACAGAGAGAGUGCCGACAAUUUCAACUUAUCUAAGGGAAAUCCUAAAGCAGGGGAGAGGAUCCUGUCUCCCUUUUUUACACCAGGGAAGAUUCCAUUUCUUUCUUUAUAGAUUUGUAUUACACAAAUUACAAAGCCCACACAUACUCAUUUAUGUAUACACACAUGCUAUACCCAGGCGCACGCAUACUCAUUUAUGUAUACACACAUGCUAUACCCAGGCCCACACAUACUCAUUUAUGUAUACACACAUGCUAUACCCAGGCGCACGCGCCCCACAUACACACAUCUGUACAUUUACACAUACUCUCACUCACAGAAACACUCCCAUACUCACGUACAUGCGUGGGCACGCAAAUGUACGCCCGUGUGUACGUAUGCAUGCACGUGGUGUGUGUGUGCUGUGCGUGUUCCAUGGCCUUGUCCACACCGCACAAUGGAACCAGGUCGUGCACUUCCUCCUCUCUUGCCUUUCUCGCUGACCUUGCACCACAGAGCUUGUCUCUUCUCAGCAGAUGGCAGGAAAGGAUAAUGCAGACUCCUAAACUUUUGUGUGCCAAUACUUACCAAGGCGCUUUGUCGAUAGAAAUGCGUUUAACCUUCAGAUCCUAAGAGGUACGUACUUCUGUAGCCUUCUUUUGCAGAGGGGCAACGGAGACUCCGAAAGGCCCAAAGGGCUGCAGCUAGUGCGGCUUCAUGUCUUAGGCAGCAGGGCGCUCCACCGCGUGCGCUCACCAUGAUGGGACAAAUCGGUCUCAACC
rnacentral:lncRNA from 1 species